rnacentral:rRNA from 1 species
CAGCCGCCGCGGGAAUACAGAGGGUGCGAGCGUUAAUCGGAUUUACUGGGCGUAAAGCGUGCGUAGGCGGCUUCUUAAGUCGGAUGUGAAAUCCCUGAGCUUAACUUAGGAAUUGCAUUCGAUACUGGGAAGCUAGAGUAUGGGAGAGGAUGGUAGAAUUCCAGGUGUAGCGGUGAAAUGCGUAGAGAUCUGGAGGAAUACCGAUGGCGAAGGCAGCCAUCUGGCCUAAUACUGACGCUGAGGUACGAUAGCAUGGGGAGCAAACAGGAUUAGAUACCCGUGUAGUCCCUGUCUCUUAUAC